rnacentral:rRNA from 1 species
UAACGCGUAUGCAAUCUACCUUUUACAGAGGGAUAGCCCAGAGAAAUUUGGAUUAAUACCUCAUAGUAUAACGUCCUGGCAUCGAGAUUAUGUUAAAGUCACAACGGUAAAAGAUGAACAUGCGUCCCAUUAACUAGUUGGUAAGGUAACGGCUUACCAAGGCAACGAUGGGUAGGGGUCCUGAGAGGGAGAUCCCCCACACUGGUACUGAGACACGGACCAGACUCCUACGGGAGGCAGCAGUGAGGAAUAUUGGACAAUGGGCGCAAGCCUGAUCCAUCCAUGCCGCGUGCAGGAUGACGGUCCUAUGGAUUGUAAACUGCUUUUGUACGAGAAGAAACACUCCGACGUGUCGGAGCUUGACGGUAUCGUAAGAAUAAGGAUCGGCUAACUCCGUGCCAUCAGCCGCGGUAAUACGGAGGAUCCAAGCGUUAUCCGGAAUCAUUGGGUUUAAAGGGUCCGUAGGCGGUUUAGUAAGUCAGUGGUGAAAGCCCAUCGCUCAACGGUGGAACGGCCAUUGAUAC